rnacentral:piRNA from 1 species
UGUAACAACAAAACUUUUGGCCAGAUGCAG